UACGGAGGGUGCAAGCGUUAAUCGGAAUUACUGGGCGUAAAGGGUGCGUAGGUGGUUGAUUAAGUUAUCUGUGAAAUUCCUGGGCUUAACCUAGGGUGGUCAGAUAAGACUGGUUGACUUGAGUACGGGAGAGGGUAGUGGAAUUUCCGGUGUAGCGGUGAAAUGCGUAGAGAUCGGAAGGAACACCAGUGGCGAAGGCGGCUACCUGGCCUGAUACUGACACUGAGGCACGAAAGCGUGGGGAGCAAACAGG
rnacentral:misc_RNA from 1 species